rnacentral:lncRNA from 1 species
AGAAAUCGCCGCCAGGGCUAGGCUGGUGUUUGUCCUAAGUGGGUACUUGCUUGGGUUGAGAAAUCACAUUUUGGCUAUUCCCCGACUUGAACCAGGGGAUAGAAAUCGUAGUCACCGGCUGGGCGCAGCGGCUCAUGCUGUAAUCCUGGCAGUUUGGGAGGCCGAGGCGGGCAGAUUAUUGAGGUUAGGAGUUCGAGACCAGCCUGGUCAAUAUGAUGAAACACCGCCUCUAGUAAAAAUACAAAAAUUAUCCGGGCGUGGUGGCGAGCGCCUGUAAUCCCAGCUACUCAGGAGGCUGAGGCAGUAGAAUCCCUUGAACCUGGGGUGCGGAGGUUGCAGUGAGCCAAGAUCGCGCCACUGCACUCCAGGCUGGGCGACACGGCGAGACUCUGUCUCAAAACAAAACAAAAGGAAAAGAAGAGAAAAGAAAAAGAAACGCAGGCACCCUGAAAUCGAAACUUGUUAGGACCAACAAGCCAACGACAGACGAAUCUGCGGGGUCCUGCGACAGACACGCCAGCCCCGCCGCCACAGCACAGGGUUCUGGAGGUCGAGCUGUUCUGCGGGUUCUGCGGCGGCGCUGGGAAGAGACGGCGCCCGGGCAGCUCCCCUGUCACCGGCUUGGAGGAGCGGCGGGCUCCCCUAGCCCAGCGCCGCCGCCGCCGCCCGGGAACGCCAGGCUCACCCCAGCUGGGGAAGCUCCGAAUCCCUCAGAUCGGCGACCUGAGUGCUGUCGCCCCGAGAAAAUGGAGGCAUCGAGCAACGAGCUGUGCUGAGACCGAGAGACCUCAGUUCUGCGAAAUGUCGGUGCCUGGAGCUUGCGAAUGACUGCGGCCGGCGGGUUGUCAAGGACAACAUUCCUUAUGGCGCAACCAACAGCGCUGUCACCAAGAAACUGGACUCUGAGAAAAAAGAGGGUUUCGGCCACCGAGAAACUCCGUGCCACAUGUGCCGUGACAGCAAAACCGCCCGCUCCGCGCCGCUGGUGAAAGAGCUAACGAACGCCAGGUGCUGCGACAGUGACACCGGGACUAGAAGGCCUCGGAUGGAGAAUGGGACGCCCAGAGCAAGCAGGAAAACGUUUUGUUUGGCUCAACUAGCGCUGUCGCAACCGGAAAACUGUCAGGCCAGUGCUGCUGCGGAUGUGAGAAACCGGUGAUCCGAAGGCGGAGUGGCGCUGGGCGCUGGACUCGCUGGUGUGAAAAUCUGGCUGCUCUAGGACCCGGCAAGCGCGGGCACCAGGCGAACGCCAGCGACUUUGCCAGACAAAUGCAUGUCUUUUUUGGUCGCCAUUCAAAGAUGCAGCCGGCAGUCAGCCCCGGCUCUGAGAAACAAGUGGAGGUGUCAGCCAUAAACCCUCCGUUCAGGGAAAAGAGAGUCGCUGCGACGGAUCGACUGGCCGUUGGGUGGAACUUUCUUUGGUGGCCUAGUGACUAGAAAAUAAAAACGAAAACGAAAUAAAAAACUGCUACUGACAUUACUCCCACGCUCCCUCCUCAAGUCAGUGGCUUCAGGCUUAAGAAAACCUGUAUUUUUCUUGGCUGAUCCGUGAUCCCUAAUUACUGAGGGCCCCGCGACCCACCAAGUGCGAUUCGCAGAGGGAAAGGAGCUGGAAUAAGGAUCCAGAAUGGGACGGAUUUGGCUCCUCCAGGAAGAAAGCAAAACAAAUGCAGGUCGCGAACACUUUACAUUGCAGGAAGCUGCUCUUCCAGUGGCCGCGGCUGGGUCCUUCCACACCACCUCUCUGUCCUAGGCCUUCGUCCCGGUUCAGCCCUCACGGAUUCUAGGCUAGCGGUCAACAACCGCAUCCCUCCGGAACCUGGAAACUCUAGGUCCGAGAUCUCGGUGAAGAAUGAAAGGCACAGCGCCGCUCAACCCAGGCUUCAGGCCUGCCCCGCUGGUCCCGUCCCUUCCCUGUGGGAUGGAACUCUGUGGGAAUCGCUCCUUAUUCUGAUGGUUCACUCAUUCAGAUGUCCUUGAUAUUUGGGGAUAUUUCUAAAACAGCUGGGGAGAAAAAUGGACUGCGAGGCUCCGGUGUUGGACGUGAAAUUGGCAGUGAGACAUCCGCCUCUAAGCCCAGGGAAAAGCUUAAAUUGUGGUUCUCUGUCUCUAGCACCGUGAUCUUUGAAAUGCGUUAUUGAUUUUCUUCUUUCUUCUGGGAAAUGCAAUGCAGGUGAACUUGUAAGUGUUGAAUCCUCCCUCUCCUCACUGUUCAAUCAGACUGAGGCCUACUUCCUUUCUGAUAAGAAAUAUGGAACUGCCAUUGCUCAGUAGGAAAAUGUCCUUUCUACAAGCAUUCAUAUUUCAAUAAAAAUCUGCACUUUGUGAGUUGAGCCCCCUCAAAGAGACCUACAGACCCUGCCAUGAGCAUCUCCAUCCACACUCAUCAUUUCCCAUUUUCACCACUUCUGCUCCUGUGCAAACCAGUACUAUCCUUUUCUGGGGGAUCCUAGGCAGAAGCGAUGGCAGGACAAAGGCAGAGAAGGCACUGCCAGGUCCUGCAUGCCAGUAAAACUACUCAUGUCAGCUGUUCUGCAGGAUCCCAUGAGAAGGUGAGUCACCAGAAAAUGCAGUUUCCACAUCCUGAUGAUUUCAUCUCCCUACCCCAACUGAUCAAUUUCUCCAAUUUUCCAGCCUCUCACCCUCCACAAUCCCCUUAAAAACUGUAGCCCAGAACUCUCUGGAAUGAUGAAUUUGAAGGUUUGCUCCUGUCUCCUCACUCAGAAGCCUGUAAUCAUUAAACUCUUUCUCUGAUGCAAA